rnacentral:rRNA from 1 species
GUCUACAGCCAUAUUACCCUGAACGUGUCUAUCUCGGAAGGUAAGCAGGGUUGGGCUUGGUUAGUACUUGGAUGGGAGACCACCUCAGAACAUCAGGUGCUGUAGGUG